AUGAAGGGCUGGGGCGCCAACCUUGGCCGUGAUCUCAGGGAGCGUAAAAAGGCCCUGCUGACCGCCAUCCAGGUGCUUGACCUCUGGGCUGACGCAUCUGGCCUCUCCCCUCAUGAAUGGCUCUCCCGAUACAAUCUAGAAGAUCAGCUCUCCAUCAUCUACACCGAUGAGGAGGCCUAUUGGCGUCUCCGUGGCUCCCAGAAAUGGGUCCUGAAGGGCGACGCUAACACGUCCUACUUUCAGGCAAUAGCUAAUGGUCGUCGUAGACGCAACACCAUCCCUCUUCUCUGGGCCGACGAGACGCUCUUGCAAUCCCCUUCCGACAUUCGGGCACACGUCGAAGGAUUCUACAAGAACCUCUUCUCUCCCCCCUCGGAGGGCUGUCGCUGGCCCAUGACUGCUGGACCAGCCCCCAGCUGGUUUCCACUGAGGAGAAUGCAGUCCUCACGGCCCCAUUCUCUGAGGGCGAGGUCUGGGCGGCCAUACGUGGUAUGA
rnacentral:rRNA from 1 species